AGAGAUGUAUAUCAGUGUUAGGGCACUUGCCUAGCAAGCAUGAGGCCCUGUGUUCAAUCCCCAGCAUCACAA
rnacentral:tRNA from 1 species